rnacentral:rRNA from 1 species
GACGAACGCUGGCGGCGUGCCUAAUACAUGCAAGUCGAGCGGACUUUCAAGAAGCUUGCUUUUUGAAAGUUAGCGGCGGACGGGUGAGUAACACGUGGGCAACCUGCCUGCAAGACGGGGAUAACUCCGGGAAACCGGGGCUAAUACCGGAUAAUAUCUUCCUUCGCAUGAAGGAAGGUUGAAAGGCGGCGCAAGCUGCCGCUUGCAGAUGGGCCCGCGGCGCAUUAGCUAGUUGGUGAGGUAACGGCUCACCAAGGCGACGAUGCGUAGCCGACCUGAGAGGGUGAUCGGCCACACUGGGACUGAGACACGGCCCAGACUCCUACGGGAGGCAGCAGUAGGGAAUCUUCCGCAAUGGACGAAAGUCUGACGGAGCAACGCCGCGUGAGCGAAGAAGGUCUUCGGAUCGUAAAGCUCUGUUGUCAGGGAAGAACAAGUACCGUUCGAACAGGGCGGUACCUUGACGGUACCUGACCAGAAAGCCACGGCUAACUACGG